GACGAACGCUGGCGGCGUGCCUAAUACAUGCAAGUUGAGCGGACGUUUUGUUGGUGCUUGCACCGACUUAACGUUAGCGGCGGACGGGUGAGUAACACGUGGGCAACCUGCCCUGUAGUCUGGGAUAACUCCGGGAAACCGGGGCUAAUACCGGAUGAUACUUUUUAAUUCAUGUUAGAAAGUUGAAAGAUGGUUCUGCUAUCGCUACAGGAUGGGCCCGCGGCGCAUUAGCUAGUUGGUGAGGUAACGGCUCACCAAGGCAACGAUGCGUAGCCGACCUGAGAGGGUGAUCGGCCACACUGGGACUGAGACACGGCCCAGACUCCUACGGGAGGCAGCAGUAGGGAAUCUUCCACAAUGGACGAAAGUCUGAUGGAGCAACGCCGCGUGAGUGAAGAAGGAUUUCGGUUCGUAAAACUCUGUUGUAAGGGAAGAACAAGUACAGUAGUAACUGGCUGUACCUUGACGGUACCUUAUUAGAAAGCCACGGCUAACUACGUGCCAGCAGCCGCAGUAACAC
rnacentral:rRNA from 1 species